UUUUUUCCUUUUUUUGGUGGGGAGGGUGUUCUGCUGAUUCCCCGUUUUUUGUUCAAUAACCUCCAGAAUUUGUUUUUGCACAGUGUAUCUCCCUGGCCAUUUUCAUGACACAUGUGGCCCAGGUUGGGGUUCAGAUCUCUGGCAUUUCCCCAGCUCCCUUCUCUAUGAAGCAGCUCCAUGGCUGUGAUUCAAGGUUUAGGAGAGACUGUGGUUUUUACUAUCACUAACAGCUUACUCCUGGCCUUCCAAAUGUCAAAUGGAAUGAAACGUAACCACCUCUUGGCCUCUGGUUAGCAGCCGGUGUGAACCAAGUGUACCUGACCGAAACUGCUGCUCACUGUUGGAACCUUUCUGCUCAGCUGAGAAGAAUGUCUGCGGCAAGACUUUCAAUAGCAUUCACAGGUUUAAUUAUGCAUAUACACGAGUUAAUUGGUAUUAUCUCACAUUUAGUAUUUACAGUAAUUAGAAAACACUUUACCUAUCUAUUCACUAGCUGUCAAAGGGAGAGAAAUCGAGUCUCUCUCGCAGUGAGAAGGGCUGAUCACAAGAGCUUUGGCUCCGCCUCUUCUCUGCAUCCACUCCUGUGGGACAUCAAUGAGCCAGGCCACCUGGCCCGCCGGAGCACUCCUGGGCUGGCACGCAGCCUCGGGGCACUUUGGAGCAUCCAGCAUUAACCUGCAGGACAAGGCCCUAGGGACAACCUUGCUCUAGAAAAUCAAAUCUGCACUGGCAAUGCUGACAUCAGUGAUGCGCUUACAAAGAAUAGGAUGCAAAGUAAUAAGAACUUUGAAGAGCUCCAAUCCAGUUCUCCAAAUGAGCUCCAGACACGCCGAACAACACGCCCAUGUCACUCAGAACCCACAAGACUUCCACACGCUCAUGCACAGGAAGACUCCAGAAGGCAUGGUGAAAACAAAAGCGAGAAUUUGUCACAUAUACAACUGGUCAAUGCAGUACCUCUUUCAAGGAAAAUUAAGAGCUGAGUCUAAGCACUGAUAGGCUAAGUAACUGAAGUUUGGACUGAGGAGGUAGCUCAGUGACAGACCACCUGCCUGCAGGCACAAGGCCCUGGGGAGCUAAGAACAAAAGCAAGAACAUUAGAAUUACUUAGGGUUACUUGCAAAAUUUUAAUUUGUACUUAUAAAGAAAUAAAAGUAGUUAGAUUUCCAUGAAUGCUGUAUUGUUUGCAGACAUGUCUCAAAAAGCUUGGACUUAUAGAUGAUAUUGUAAGUACUAAGAAAACUGUGACUAGGAAAUUAAAUGCUUUUUAAGUAAUUCAGAGUUAACAUUGACAUGUACAUGCAUAAUGCGUACACCAUGUAUGUAUGGAUCUUGUCAUGCUUUGUGUUGUAAAACCAUCAAUUGUAGCCAUAGAUUUUUCAGCAAAAAAAAUGUGUAUUUAAAUUUUUCAUAAUAAAAUUCCUCGGAUGAGGUAGAAUUGAAAUUGUAUUUUUAAAAA